UACGUAGGGGGGCUAGCGUUGUCCGGAAUCAUUGGGCGUAAAGAGCGUGUAGGCGGUCCGGUAAGUCCGCUGUGAAAGUCGGGGGGCUCAACCCUCGAUGCCGGUGGAUACUGUCGGGCUAGAGUGCGGAAGAGGCGAGUGGAAUUCCUGGUGUAGCGGUGAAAUGCGCAGAUAUCAGGAGGAACACCUAUUGCGAAGGCAGCUCGCUGGGACGUUACUGACGCUGAGACGCGAAAGCGUGGGGAGCAAACAGG
rnacentral:rRNA from 1 species